GUUGUGAAAUGUUGGGUUAAGUCCCGCAACGAGCGCAACCCUUAUCCUUUGUUGCCAGCGGUCCGGCCGGGAACUCAAAGGAGACUGCCAGUGAUAAACUGGAGGAAGGUGGGGAUGACGUCAAGUCAUCAUGGCCCUUACGACCAGGGCUACACACGUGCUACAAUGGCGCAUACAAAGAGAAGCGACCUCGCGAGAGCAAGCGGACCUCAUAAAGUGCGUCGUAGUCCGGAUUGGAGUCUGCAACUCGACUCCAUGAAGUCGGAAUCGCUAGUAAUCGUGGAUCAGAAUGCCACGGUGAAUACGUUCCCGGGCCUUGUACACACCGCCCGUCACACCAUGGGAGUGGGUUGCAAAAGAAGUAGGUAGCUUAACCUUCGGGAGGGCGCUUACCACUUUGUGAUUCAUGACUGGGGUGAAGUCGUAACAAGGUAACCGUAGGGGAACCUGC
rnacentral:rRNA from 1 species